UCUCAGUGAUGGAAUCCCAGUAGAUCCUUCUGACCCUCCACUGUGGACUCGAAAGCAGGCAGAUGACGAGGACCGCGGCGGAGAGG
ensembl:snoRNA SNORD62 Small nucleolar RNA SNORD62